GAGCCGCUAGCUCAGUCGGUAGAGCAACAGCCUUUUAAGCUGUGGGUCACAGGUUCGAUCCCUGUGCGGCUCACCA
rnacentral:tRNA from 1 species